rnacentral:misc_RNA from 1 species
AUAUUUACCCAAAUUAUUACCUUUUUUUUGCCCUUUAUCUGCUUUUAAUGCUGCUGGCCACCAUGUAUGCACUCAUGGGAAGAAAUUUGAUUCUGCAAUUUGUUCAUGUGGUGGUUUCCCUGAUUGUCAAAUCAGGGUUCAAUUUAGUUAAUAUCAAAUUGUUCCAAUGAUGAUGAUUGGUUGGGAGACCAGUUCAAAUUGGGAUCCUUGGCAUUGCUGAAUAGAUGCAGCAGCAAUUGACAGUUCAUGCUGUACUUUUUUUUUAUCUAAAAG